UACGGAGGGUGCAAGCGUUAUCCGGAUUUAUUGGGUUUAAAGGGUGCGUAGGCGGGCAGGUAAGUCAGUGGUGAAAUCCUAGAGCUUAACUCUAGAACUGCCAUUGAUACUAUCUGUCUUGAAUAUUGUGGAGGUAAGCGGAAUAUGUCAUGUAGCGGUGAAAUGCUUAGAUAUGACAUAGAACACCUAUUGCGAAGGCAGCUUACUACGCAUAUAUUGACGCUGAGGCACGAAAGCGUGGGGAUCAAACAGG
rnacentral:rRNA from 1 species